rnacentral:rRNA from 1 species
UACGAAGGGGGCUAGCGUUGCUCGGAUUCAUUGGGCGUAAAGGGUGCGUAGGCGGCGGGGCAAGUCUGAUGUGAAAUCCCGGGGCUCAACCCCGGAACUGCAUUGGAUACUGCCUUGCUCGAGUACUGGAGAGGGAACUGGAAUUUACGGUGUAGCAGUGAAAUGCGUAGAGAUCGUAAGGAAGGCCAGUGGCGAAGGCGAGUUCCUGGACAGUUACUGACGCUGAGGCACGAAGGCCAGGGGAGCAAACGGG